rnacentral:rRNA from 1 species
UACAGAGGGGGCAAGCGUUGUUCGGAAUUACUGGGCGUAAAGGGCGCGUAGGCGGCCUGUUAAGUCGAACGUGAAAUCCCCGGGCUCAACCUGGGAACUGCAUUUGUGACUGUACGGCUGGAGUGCGGCAGAGGGGGAUGGAAUUCCGGCGUGUAGCAGUGAAAUGCGUAGAUAUGCGGAGGAACACCGAUGGCGAAGGCAAUCCCCUGGGCCUGCACUGACGCUCCAUGCACGAAAGCGUGGGGAGCAAACAGG